AGUUUGGUAGGGGAGACUGAAAUUCCGGUGGAGCGGUGGAAUGCGCAGAUAUCAGGAGGACCCCAAUGGCGAAAGGCAGGGUCUUCUGGGUUAAUACUGACAUUGAGGAGCGAAAGUUUGGGGAGCGAACAGGAUUAGAUACCCUGGUAGUCCAGACCGUUAAAGGGUGGGCACUAGUUGUGGGACCUUCCACGGUUUUUGCGAGGCAGCUAAACGCAUUUAAGUGCCCCGCCUGGGGGAGUACGAUCGCAAGAUUAAAACUCAAAGGAAUUGACGGGGCCCCGCACAAGCAGCGGAGCAUGCGGCUUAAUUCGACGCAACGCGAAGAACCUUACCAAGGCUUGACAUAUAGGGAAAAGUGGCAGAGAUGUCAUGUCCGCAAGGGCUCUAUACAGGUGGUGCAUGGUUGUCGUCAGCUCGUGUCGUGAGAUGUUGGGUUAGGUCCCGCAACGAGCGCAACCCUCGUUCUGUGUUGCCAGCAUUUAGUUGGGGGACUCACAGGAGACUGCCGGGGUUAACUCGGAGGAAGGUGGGGAUGACGUCAAAUCAUCAUGCCCCUUAUGUCUUGGGCUGCACGCAUGCUACAAUGGCCGGUACAGAGGGCUGCAAUACCGCAAGGUGGAGCGAAUCCCAAAAAGCCGGUCUCAGUUCGGAUUGAGGUCUGCAACUCGACCUCAUGAAGUUGGAGUUGCUAGUAAUCGUAGAUCAGCAUCGCUACGGUGAAUACGUUCCCGGGGCUUGUACACACCGCCCGUCACGUCACGAAAGUCGGUAACACCCAAAGUCAGUGGCCCAACCGCAAGGGGGGAGCUGCCUAAGGUGGGAUCGGUGAUUGGGACGAAGUCGUAACAAGGUA
rnacentral:rRNA from 1 species